rnacentral:rRNA from 1 species
UACGUAGGGGGCAAGCGUUUGUCCGGAAUCAUUGGGCGUAAAGCGUCUGUAGGUGGCUUUUUAAGUCCGCCGUCAAAUCCCAGGGCUCAACUCUGGACAGGCGGUGGAAACUACCAAGCUGGAGUACGGUAGGGGGCAGAGGGAAUUUCCGGUGGAGCGGUGAAAUGCGUAGAGAUCGGAAAGAACACCAACGGCGAAAGCACUCUGCUGGGCCGACACUGACACUGGAGAGACGAAAGCUAGGGGAGCGAAUGGG